UACGUAGGGUGCGAGCGUUGUCCGGAAUUACUGGGCGUAAAGAGCUCGUAGGUGGUUUGUCACGUCGUCUGUGAAAUUCCGGGGCUUAACCUCGGGCGUGCAGGCGAUACGGGCAAUACUUGAGUGCUGUAGGGGAGACUGGAAUUCCUGGUGUAGCGGUGAAAUGCGCAGAUAUCAGGAAGAACACCAGUGGCGAAGGCGGCUUUCUGGUCUGCACCUGACGCUGAGAGGCGAAGGCCAGGGUAGCGAACGGGCUUAGAUACCCCU
rnacentral:rRNA from 1 species